AAGUCCACCUGCGCGGCUGAGUGGAGGAUGCUAGGUUGCUGUGCUGUUUCUCCUACUGUCUUGCUGCCGCACCACCCCUCAGAAAAACCGGGUCGUCAGUUUCCUGCGGUUUGCACUCACCAAAUAUACUUAGCAAUUUGCAAUUCACCCGCAGGAUUAUUCCAGCCUCUGUGAUCACACACAGAAGGAUGAGCCUUCCUCGUGAGGGUUGGAGAUGGAGGGAGAAGGGAUGGAGAGUAAGGAUGGGACGGAGGUUGUGGAGCAGCAGACCAACACGCCAGAAAGGAAAAUAAUGAUCAUCUCAAUUUUUAUAUGUGGAGGCAUUGCUUUUCUUCUUUGGGGGAUUUUAAGAUUUCCCAGAAAAUGUAAGUAAACAAUUUCUGCUAAAAUUAUUAAAUUAAAUUGUUAAAAUUAUUGUAUUAUUGAUUCAGUUGGAUACCAAUAACUAGUCUUUCCUUCCUUAAUAUAGAACAAUUUAGAGAUAAAAGCAUUUUCCAAGACAGUGCAUCUAAUUGCUCUUCAAACUUAGUCACCUGCUUCACCUUCUAGAAUAAUCAGUCUUUCAAUAAAUAUGUAUCAAGCUUUAGGCACAGUGCUGCCUGCUGAUGAUAUAACAAUGAAAAAAAAUGGUAUUUCUUGCCUGAAAGUAGUUUAUCUUUAACUGAAUAUGGAAGCAUGUAAGCAAACAACUGUAACACAAAAGAAAUAAUUACUAAAUAGAACUAUGUUGAAUUUGAAGCAGGAGAGGAGAUUAUAAGUUAGCUGCUUGUAGUCAAGGCUUUAAUGAAGGGAGAAAUAUUUGUGCUGAAUCUUAAACUCAAGUAGGCGUUUAUCAAAGAUCAUCUUAGAACACACAUGUCAGAGAAUCACACCAGGUAUAAUUAUGAUGGAGUUACAAAGAAGUAGGGUGAGGGACUGGCAAUUGUAUUAUAGUUCCCUAGUGCAUUAACUCUUUCACUGCCAUUCAUUAGCAAUUUAUACCUUGUCCUUCAUCUCCAUUCUCCUCAUGCUCAUUCUCAUGUCUAUACCCUUGCUUCCAACUUGUUCUAAUUUUAACAAUUUGUAGGAAACUUCCAAAUGCUCCCAUCACCACACCAGCUUACUUACUCCAUCUCUGCCCCUACACUCUGCCUAGACUCCUGGAACUGUAGAUGCAGUAUUCAUGUUCUACAAUAGAUCCUAUAUUCUUUCACUGGAUCAGUAAUAUCACCCUAGUAAUUCUCCACUCUCCUACAUUAUCCUUUUUUCAU
ensembl:lncRNA LINC02470 long intergenic non-protein coding RNA 2470